GCAGGGGGCUGUCAUCUGCUCAGAAUAUAGGACUCGCACCCCAAAACACAGGGCACUCCCCCUACCCCGUGCCAUCCCAACUCUAGCCCCCACAUUAGGCUCAGGCCACUGAUAAUGCAGGGUCCACACAGCCCCAAAUGUGGAUUCUCCUUGACCUUGAGAAGCACUGAAUCCACCCCAACCUACGCCAAGGUCAUCAGCCUGACCCUGAGCAACAUGAAGAACUACAGGGACCACUUUGAGCAGUUGAACCAGCUUCACCACAGUGAAUGGAAUUAUUUUGAUAGUCACCUAAAGGACCUGCAUGACCGCUUCCUGAGGGAAGUGAAGAACACUGAGAAGAAAGCAGCAGAUGAAAGACAGGCCAGUCACACGAUCAUCCUGCCCUCCUCCUCCCACUCCUGCACUGAGGGGCUGCUUGAAAAGGAACACAGAAGAAACUGUGGCAGAGAAAUUGCCUUUCUCCUAAGACAGACAGAGACCAACAAGAAGCCAAAAGCUCUGCAAAAAAAGGGGCCCCUCAUCUUCAGCCUCUUGCCAUCCCCCUUGCAUGAAUGAAUCUUGUCCAAGAACUGGGAGAAACUUCAGAGGGGAAGCUCGCAUGUUGUUGGAGUUCAUCUAAAAACAACCAAACAAUCAAAAAUACUGCAAGCGGGGAUUCCCCAUCCAUGGGAAAAAGAAUAUUAAAGUUCACUUCAACUGUGGGCCAAAGACAGGAUUUAAGCACCUGGUUAUUCUUUUAUUCACUCCCUUAUGAAUCAUGAUGUGAUAGCCAACCUGUCUCCAUUUUGUGCCUCAUCACCAUUCCCCCUCCCCCCUUGGGAGUCCUCUCUGUUGAUGCUUGACAGACCACUGCACCCCAUUUGGUAGAGCAGUCUGCAGCUAUAUGUUAUCUUUAUGACCUUGUGAAGAGAAUACUCUGCACCUAUGUGAUAUUUUGUUUCAACUAAAUUCUGUGAAACUUCCCCUGACCCUCACUAAUUUAGCAAAGCUCUGCUUCUGUAAAAUUCUGCUUGUGUUCCCCCUCUCCCAGAGCCGUCCCCAACUAGAAGAGCCACUAAAAAAGAAACCUGCAAGCUGCUUUUCGGGGUCAAGAGAUUCUGAGUGCUAGCUCCUCUCAACCGCCAGCAAUAAAGGACUCAAAUUUGGCUCAGAGUGUUGGUGAUUCCCUAUAAUCUCUCUUGAUUGAAUAUAACAAUGACACUGUAAUAUAUAUCAUUAAGUAACAUAAAAGUAACCAAGGGAGACCUCAUUACUUUAUUGAGUAUUUAUGUGCUGGGUGCCCUGCUGAGCCUUCUAUGUUUAUAGCUACAAGCUGUCCAGCCCCACCCCCAGGUGGGUAUUGUCACCUCCAUUUUCCCAGGAAGCACUGGGGCUUGCAGAAAUAAAGAUGCUGUGUUAGCUUUGUGUGGCUGUGACAAAAUACUGGGGAAAAUCAGUUUAGGAGAGGGAAGGCUUAUUCUGGCUCACUGUUUCAGUCCCUCGUCACCUGCUCCAUGGCUCUUUGACCCAUGUAGGAGCAGAAACAUCAUAGCAGUGCAGGGGGUGGUGGAGGACAGUUGCUCACCUCACAGCAGCCAGGAAGCAAAGAGAGUGAGAGCCAGACAUGGCCUCAUGACCCACUCCUUCAGCCAGGCCCCACUUCCAGUUUCCACCACUUCCUAGUAAAGCCAUUAAUGCCAUCCAAUUAGGAUCUCAUCGGGCCGGGGAUUUAGCUCAGCGGUUCCGUCACCUGCCUUGCAAGCCCAAGGACCUGAGUUCGAUCCCUGCUACCAAAAAAAAAAAAAAAAAUGGAUCUCAUCAAUGGAUCAGUCCACUGGAUGAAUUGACAGAGCUCAUGAUCCAAUCACAUCCCCAAAGGCCAUUAGCUGAUAACCAAGUUUUUGGGGCCACUUCAACUCCAAACCAUAGCAUACACAAUCCCUCACAGUCUGCAGAAGGAAGAAGGUGGGAACCAAUAUGUGCAUGCAGGCUUUGCUAGAAGUCUGGGUGGGACUGGAAGGAAACUGAAGCAGGUGCAGCCAGUGUGCAAGGGAUCUUGGGGCAGAGUGUAGGGGCCAGCCUGGAGCUGAGGUGCUUGGGCUUGGACAGUUGGGCCUUAGGGCACAGGGAGUGGCUUGGCCUGUGCCACAGCAUCCACCUGGCACUGCCAAGACAUAAGAACGUACAGAUGGCCGUCUCCUGAACCAACAAGCAAGUUGGUGGAUUUUUGGGACAUAUGGCACCUCCUUCAGGCAGACAUCUCCAUGAGACCAUGAGUAUAACCCUAGGGGGCUCCUCAGAGAACCACUGUACCCAGGUAAUCAUACCCAGGGCAGGGCAAGGAUCCCAGGGAAGCAGCCCAAGCUCUCCCCUGAGAAAAUGCAGGCCUUUGAAUUCCAGCUCUAUUCCACAGCACUGUGUAACUGUGGGCA
rnacentral:lncRNA from 1 species